UGGGGGAUAUUGCACAAUGGGCGAAAGCCUGAUGCAGCGACGCCGCGUGGGGGGUGAAGGCUUUCGGGUUGUAAACCUCUUUCGCUAUCGAACAAGGCCCGCUUAGGGUGGGUUGAGGGUAGGUGGAGAAGAAGCGCCGGCUAACUACGUGCCAGCAGCCGCGGUAAUACGUAGGGCGCGAGCGUUGUCCGGAAUUAUUGGGCGUAAAGGGCUUGUAGGCGGCUUGUUGCGCCUGCUGUGAAAACGCGGGGCUUAACUUCGCGCGUGCAGUGGGUACGGGCAGGCUUGAGUGUGGUAGGGGUGACUGGAAUUCCAGGUGUAGCGGUGGAAUGCGCAGAUAUCUGGAGGAACACCGAUGGCGAAGGCAGGUCACUGGGCCAUUACUGACGCUGAGGAGCGAAAGCAUGGGUAGCGAACAGG
rnacentral:rRNA from 1 species